GGCACUUUUUGCCUACGGGAGGCAGCAGUAGGGAAUCUUGUGCAAUGGGACGAAAGUCUGACGGAGCAACGCCGCGUGAGCGAAGAAGGUCUUCGGAUCGUAAAGCUCUGUUGUUAGGGAAGAACAAGUAUCGGAGUAACUGCCGGUACCUUGACGGUACCUUUCGAGGAAGCUACGCGCUAACUACGUGCCAGCAGCCGCGGUAAU
rnacentral:rRNA from 1 species